rnacentral:rRNA from 1 species
GCGCGAAAACUUUACAAUGCCGGCAACGGCGAUAAGGGAACCUCGAGUGCCAGGUUACAAAUCUGGCUGUCGUGAUGCCUAAAAAGCAUUGCAUAGCAAGGGCCGGGCAAGACCGGUGCCAGCCGCCGCGGUAACACCGGCGGCUCGAGUGGUAACCGUUAUUAUUGGGUCUAAAGGGUCUGUAGCCGGCCGGAUAAGUCUCUUGGGAAAUCUGGCAGCUUAACUGUCAGGCUUUCAGGAGAUACUGUCUGGCUCGAGGCCGGGAGAGGUGAGAGGUACUUCAGGGGUAGGGGUGAAAUCUUGUAAUCCUUGAAGGACCACCAGUGGCGAAGGCGUCUCACCAGAACGGACCUGACGGCAAGGGACGAAAGCUAGGGGCACGAACCGGAUUAGAUACCCGGGUAGUCCUAGCCGUAAACGAUACUCGCUAGGUGUCGGCCACGGUGCGACCGUGGUCGGUGCCGUAGGGAAGCCGUGAAACGAGCCACCUGGGAAGUACGGCCGCAAGGCUGAAACUUAAAGGAAUUGGCGGGGGAGCAC